GACGACGCUGGCGGCGUGCUUAAAACAUGCAAGUCGAACGGACUUCUCAUGAAGCUUGCGAUUGAGAAGUUAGUGGCGGACGGGUGAGUAACGCGUGGGCAACCUGCCCCUGAGCCCGGGAUAACAGUUCGAAAGGACUGCUAAGACCGGAUAUACUUGCGGUGAAGCAUUUCACUGCAAGGAAAGGGAACGCUCAGGGAUGGGCCCGCGUCCCAUUAGCUAGUUGGUGAGGUAACGGCCCACCAAGGCGACGAUGGGUAGCCGGCCUGAGAGGGUGAACGGCCACACUGGGACUGAGACACGGCCCAGACUCCUACGGGAGGCAGCAGUUGGGAAUCUUCGGCAAUGGGCGCAAGCCUGACCGAGCAACGCCGCGUGAGUGAUGAAGGUUUUCGGAUUGUAAAGCUCUGUCUUCCGGGACGAUAAUGACGGUACCGGAGGAGGAAGCCACGGCUAACUACGUG
rnacentral:rRNA from 1 species